AGAAAAUAUCAAAUAUAUUAAAAGGUAGAAAGACUAGAAAAAUGACCCCUAGUUUCAACACACUGGCCAAUCUUGUUUCAUCUGUGAUUCUGAAAAUCGUUAAAUGCUCGCAGAAACUCAGAUGUGUCUUUACAUGACCUGGCAGGUCCCCAGCACAUGGCCUCACGCAGGGAAGAGGCACAAAGCAAGUAGAGCAGAGUCCUGGCCUGGAAGGACUAGCAACCCAGGGGGACUAGAGCCGCAUAAAACAUCUACAAAAUCAAGGAACAAAAAUACCAGGCCUGCAAGGCGAAGCCUGGCAGUGCUAACUGGACUCCCUGAUAGGAUGCAAUGAGGUCGGCACUUCACCUCUGCAUAUUCGUCCCCAAAACUCAUAAAUCCAGUCUAAUAAUGUGAAAAACAUUGAGCAAACCCAAACUAAGGACCUUUCCACAAAAUAUCUGACCAUCACUCUUCAAUCGAGGUCAUGAAAAAUAAGGAAAGACAGAAGCUGUCACAGAUCAAGGAGACGGGGGAGACGUGAUGACGAAGUUGCAAUGAGAUGUCCUGGACUAGAUCCUGGAGCAGACCGAGUCUCAGCAGGAAAACCAGGGAAUUCCAAGUGAGGUCUGUGGUUUACUUAAUAACACUGUGCCAAUGUUAAUCUCCUAAUUUUGUCAAAUGCGCCCAGGUUAGGUAAGUUGUUAACAGCAGGGAAAACUGGGUGAAAGGUGUACGGUGAUUCUCUGUAAUAUAUCUGUAACUUUAUUGUAUAUCUAAAAUUUUUCAAAAAUAAAAAGUUUAUUGCAGAAAUGAUAAUAUAAAAAUUGGAACUGGCUAAUGAAUAUUAAUUCUUCUUCACAAGAAGAAGUCAGUGACAACGAAGCUUUCAUUUUAAAAUUCAGCUCAGAAAGAAGAAACCUCAAGAAAUAAAACAACUUGUUAAAGGGUCUCAAAGAAAGUAAGCACCUUGAAAUGAAGGCAGGGCCCCUGUAAGCUAAAGGCCACACCAGGUGACCAGUGGCAGCACAAUGGACGUGCUACCACGGCAAGGAACUGUGCGGACAGCCAGAAGUGGCUCUGAGGCUGCCCGCCUGGUCUCCCCCUCCACCAAGAGCAGGGCUGUGCCAGUCUCCCUGUACCCCCGCAGCUGCCCAGCCUCUCCCCGUCCUCUCCCCUUCGGCCCACCCGCACAGCACCUCUCUUCACUCACGCAGCAAUUCCUGAGGAGCUGGAGCACAACUCUGAGCUGAAAGCAAUGAAAGGCGGAGGUGUUACAACCCACUAUAUGGUAAUUCAUUUUUUAAAAAGUUUAUAUGUAUCCAGGGAAAAGAUGAACUGUACACCAGGAGACCCGAAGCUGUGGUUCUGAACAAGGAAGGGACAGAAGCAGCAGCAGCAAUAGAAUGCCACCUCUGGUCUUUCUGACCUGGAGAUCACGAUGCCGAGCCUGCUAGUGCUCACUUGUGCUUUUAUUUUAUUUUAUUUUAUUUUAUUUUUUAGGGCCACACCCGCAGCGUAUGGAGGUUCCCAGGCUAGAGGUCGAACUGGAACUACAGCUGCCGGCCUACACUACAGCCACAGCAACGCCAGAUCCCCAGAUCUGAGCCACGCCGGUGGCUACAGCUCUGAUUAGACCCCUAGCCUGGGACUCUCCAUAUGCCGCAGGAACAGCCCUAGAAAAGGCAAAAAGACAAAAAUAAAUAAAUAAAUAAAUAAAAAUAAAAUGAAUUAGUAUUUUAUUAAUCAUAAUCACAGCAUCAUUUUGAUACGGUAACAUAUAAAUAUUUUGUGUCUGCAUGUCUUUGUGUCCUGGGGCAAUAAAAAAAAAAAUCCACCUAUAAAAUAUGCAUGGCAGGUACAGCCCUAAGUGAGCAGUCCUUUUGUAAUCACCCCUUAAUGUCCUAGAGGACCAGGGUCCCUGUGAGGAACCACCAAUGGACUAAAGAGAGAACCACCAGGCAGAUCUGGGUCUGAGGAGUUAAUAAGUUGAGCCUGUUUCCUCAACUGUAAAGUGGGAAUCAAAGAGUCAUACGGCAGGACAGCUGGGAGGCUGAGAGGCACACAAAGGCAGCACUAAAUGCAGCAAAGUACAGCAAUGCCCCAACCAAGUACAGGACACCUAUUCAUUUACCCAGUCCUCACAACAAUUCUAUCAUUAUCCCCAUUUUAAAGGUGAGGUAACUGAGGCACAGGGAGAUGCAGUAACUUGCCCAAGGAUCCACAAUAAACUGCAGAACUGGAAUUCAAGCCCAGGCAAUCUGCCGGCAGAGCUCCUUGCAUAAUAAACUCACCACAGACACCCACAGCACACAGCACACCAGGUUGGACCAUGGCCAGAACGCAGCAGGGCUUGUCCCUGACCCGCUGCUCCAAGAGGACCUUCUACAAGGGAAAGCUACCUGGGACCAGGUCACAGCCCCAAAAGCCAGCCCUUCAUCAACAGCAGGAGCCUGUAAAGGGACUGGGGAGCAGGGCUUUGCAGCCUCUACGGGUACUGGCAAUUUGCCACCUCCACCCCAGGGAGAGAAAGCCCCUUCCUCUUAUCCAUCUCCUAGGAGUUCUGGGAGAGCUGACAGAGUUCACCUCUUUUUUAAAUGUUUUAAUUAUAGUUGAUUUACAAUGUUCUGUCAAUUUCUGCUGUACAGCGAAGUGACCCAAUUUUAUAUACAUAUAAUAUAUAUAUGUAUAUAUUUAUAUAUUCUUUUUCUCACAUUAUCCUCCAUCAUGUUGCAUCACAAAUGAUUAGAUGUCGUUAGUUUCCUGUGCUACACAGCAGGACCUCAUACUUAUUCACUCCAAAUG
ensembl:lncRNA